AGCAGUGGGGAAUAUUGGACAAUGGGCGCAAGCCUGAUCCAGCCAUGCCGCGUGAGUGAUGACGGCCUUAGGGUUGUAAAGCUCUUUCGCACGCGACGAUAAUGACGGUAGCGUGAGAAGAAGCCCCGGCUAACUUCGUGCCAGCAGCCGCGGUAAUACGAAGGGGGCUAGCGUUGUUCGGAAUCACUGGGCGUAAAGGGUGCGUAGGCGGAUUUUUAAGUCAGGGGUGAAAUCCCGAGGCUCAACCUCGGAACUGCCUUUGAUACUGGGGAUCUUGAGUCCGGAAGAGGUGAGUGGAACUGCGAGUGUAGAGGUGAAUUCGUAGAUAUUCGCAAGAACACCAGUGGCGAAGGCGGCUCACUGGUCCGGAACUGACGCUGAGG
rnacentral:rRNA from 1 species